GCAACCCACUCCAGUAUUCUUGCCUGGGAAACCCCAUGGACGGAGGAGCCUGGCAGAGUACAGUCCGUGGGGUCACAAAUGAGUCAGACACAAGUUAGUGACUGAACAACCAGGCCAGAAGGCAGAAGAACAGCUGUAACACUACAGUUUGAAGUGCACCCCCAGGAUUGCAGCAAACUUCAUGAAGCCGUCCACCCAGGCAGUACCUGCCAGUCUGUUCUCCUGACUCUGGUCUUCACCCCAGCAUGGCCACCAGCUGCCUCCACACCAUUGUGGCAGCAUAGAAAACCACCCUGGGUCUUUUAGAGCAGACUUUUUGUUGCACUUAUUUCUAAUUAAAAAGAAAACAAUCUUUAUAUUUAAAAUGGAUAACCAACAAGGGCCUACUGUAUAGAACAUGGAACUCUGUAUGGGAGGGGAGUUUGGGGGAGAAUGGAUACAUGUAUAUAUACGGCUGAGUUACUCUGCGGUGCCCCUGAAACAAUCACAUUAUUAAUCGGCUAUAUUUCAUUAUCAGAUAAAACAUUUUUUAAAUUUAGAUUUUGAAAGUCUCUGGGAAAAGUUAACCUUGAUGACAUGUGAAGCUUUCUCUUAUUUGUUUGAAAAACUGGAUUCACCCUUAUUGUCCACCUUCCCCUACUUCAGCUUCAUUCUGGAACCCACUGUGAUCUACAAAUAAGGACUAAAAAGCAUGAAUAAAAGACCAUGAGCAUCAAA